UAUUAUAAGACCAUUAAUAACUGUAUUACGUAUUUUCACAUCAGCUGUUAUUUGUAUUGUUCUGUGCACGAUUACAGAUAUCAUGGUUUAUGGUUACAUGAUAUGAAGUAUACCUAAUACUUGGUUAUCGUGAAGCACAUGGCAAUACGUUGAGUAUCUGAUAAACGGUUAUGAGGUUAUAAACUUAUAAGAUUAUAAGCACGAUGUGAUUGUAAGAUUUAAUAAUUAUUGAAUUGGCUCGAAUCGAGUCGUUAAUGUUAAUAAAGUUUUACUUUUUAGUAUUUAUCAGUUUUAAGUGUUUAAAUUUUAAUAAUGCACAUAUUAUGUUAUAAUAAAGUUCAAGUUUAAUAUUUACAUUAUAAAAAGUUCUUGAAUAUAUUUUUCUUAUCUACCACAUAUUGUAUUUUAUUUAAUAUUUUAAUCAAAUAAGCAAGUACCUAAAGUGGUUAAUCACAUGACAAUUGAAUACUUGGCGAGUAGGUACAUAAUAUAAAUAAUAUUAUGUACAAUUUGUUGUUUAAUCAUUUAUACAUCUACAAUUGUUGUUUAAAUGUAUAGCAAAUGGUUUGCUGUUACCCAGUGGAUAAUAAAUGCGUUGUUAUAUAAUCAAGUAUCAUAGCACUACAUAGAAAUAUUACUAACAACUAAGAUGUGUCAGCCAGUUAUUGAGUUUUGUUUAUUUUGUUACUUCAAUUUGGCACAUAGAUAGUCCUAGACUAUUUAUAUUUACUACAAACAUACUUAGACAGAUGAUUUAAUUCAUAAAAAAAAGUGAUUAUAAAAUAAUUCAUACACAUAAUAAUAUAUUAUGAUUCCAAAUUGGAAUUUGAAUAUGCAAUAGUAAAAUCUAAUAUCAUAUACACUUUGGAAGAUCUUCUAUAUUAAAAUGAUAUUUAUACUACCAUUUCCAAUUACAUUUAAAAAUACCAAUAUUUUGAUAACAGUGAAAAAUAAAAUAUUGCUUCACGUAUUAGAUUUAAAUAUGACUACAAAAUAAAUUAAGUGUAAUCAAGUUAAUAAUUGCAAGAAGUGGAAAAAAAUCUAUUAGGAUUAACUGCACAUUAUAACUUACACAUAAUAUAUUAUGAUUCCAAAUUAGAAUUUGAAUAUGCAAUAGUGAAAUCUAAUAUCACAUACACUUUGGAAGAUCCUCUAUGUUAAAAUGAUAUUUAUACUACCAUUUCCAAUUACAUUUAAAAAUACCGAUAUUUUGAUAACAGUGAAAAAUAAAAUAUUGCUUCACGUAUUAGAUUUAAAUAUGACUACAAAAUAAAUUAAGUGUAAUUAAGUCAAUAAUUGCAAGAAGUGGAAAAAAAAUCUAUUUGGACAACCAACUGCACAUUACCAAUGAUAUUUAUUGAAAACUAAGAAUUGUGCUAGUGUUAAUGUUUUAUAAUUUGUAUGUAAUUUUAUAAUUAAUUUAUGUGAGGUGACAACAUCAAUCAUUACAACUUAAAAGAUAAAUGUAUGUUGUGUUUAAUACACAUUACCUACACAUAUUGUGUAAAUUGCGUAAAGCAAAUAAAAAAUUUAAAAAAAUAGUAAGUAGGUAUGUGAUUAAUUAUUAUUAUGCAUAUAAAAUUACUACUAAGUAAUUGCUCAAUAUAAAUUCUUUCUGUAAAUGAUUGGUGUUGUCAUUAAAUAUUAAUUUGUACUAAAUUCGAGUUAAAAUAUUAUUAACAGCAUUUUAAAAAUUUUACUUUUGUUUUAAGUCUGGGGUUAUUGGAAAGUUGGUUUCAAUUUUUUGAAUACAUGUUAUAUCUUUACUCAUAUUUUGCAAAACUGCAAAACGACAAUUUUGAUUUAAUUGUAUCAUCAUUUUGGAAUAGAUUUUUCAUAGUUCUGGGCUUAUAAAUGAAAGUAAAAUUUUUAAUGGUUC